CAGUUCGGAUUGUAGUCUGCAACCCGACUACAUGAAGCUGGAAUCGCUAGUAAUCGCAGAUCAGAAUGCUGCGGUGAAUACGUUCCCGGGUCUUGUACACACCGCCCGUCACACCAUGGGAGUUGGAAAUGCCCGAAGCCAGUGACCCAACCGUAAGGAGGGAGCUGUCGAAGGUGGAGCCGAUGACUGGGGUGAAGUCGUAACAAGGUACC
rnacentral:rRNA from 1 species